rnacentral:rRNA from 1 species
GGGGGGGGCAAGCGUUGUUCGGAAUUACUGGGCGUAAAGGGCUCGUAGGCGGCCAACUAAGUCCGACGUGAAAUCCCCAGGCUCAACCUGGGAACUGCGUCGGAUACUGGAUGGCUUGAAUCCGGGAGAGGGAUGCAGAAUUCCAGGUGUAGCGGUGAAAUGCGUAGAUAUCUGGAGGAAUACCGGUGGCGAAGGCGGCAUCCUGGACCGGCAUUGACGCUGAGGAGCGAAAGCCAGGGGAGCAAACGGGAUUAGAUACCCCGGUAGUCCUGGCCCUAAACGAUGAAUGCUUGGUGUGACGGGUAUCGAUCCCUGUCGUGCCGAAGCUAACGCAUUAAGCAUUCCGCCUGGGGAGUACGGUCGCAAGGCUGAA